UUGGGGGGUUUUUAUGAGAAAUUGGUGGAGUGAUUCAAAGAGGGAUAAGGGGAGAGAUUUUAAGAGAAAAUAAAGGGAAGUGAGGGGAGAGGGGAGGUGUGCCGAAAAUGGACUUGUUACUCAGGAAAAUUCGGCUAGAGGGCAGACUGCUCAUAUUUGUUUUACUCUUCAUGUCGGGUUUGGGUGGUUUUCCCUCUCUCUGCUUGUAGGCGCCGAAUUUUUACUAAUUUUUGGAGGUACCUCUCGAGUUUGUUUUCUUUUAGCUGCUAUUCCAUUUUUACUUAUUUUUUUCUUUUUGGCCGAAUAUAGUUUCUCUCCUCCCUCACUUUUUCUUUUUUGUUAUUCUUUUUUUUCGGUUUUCUCUCCUCUUUGAUUGCUGAAUACACCUUUCUCCCCCUUUUGUCCCUUUGAAUCUAUCUACUUUACCGUUCCUUAUCCUGCUACACUGUUGCCGAUUUACUCUUGUUGUUUUCCCCUUCUUCCAUCUUUUCUUUUCUUUUUCUAAUUCCUGAA
rnacentral:lncRNA from 1 species